rnacentral:rRNA from 1 species
UACGUAGGGGGCAAGCGUUGUCCGGAAUCAUUGGGCGUAAAGAGCGUGUAGGCGGCCCGAUAAGUCCGCUGUGAAAGUCCAGGGCUCAGCCCUGGGAUGCCGGUGGAUACUGUCGGGCUCGAGUCCGGAAGAGGAGUGUGGAAUUCCUGGUGUAGCGGUGAAAUGCGCAGAUAUCAGGAGGAACACCAAUGGCGAAGGCAGCACUCUGGGACGUGACUGACGCUGAGACGCGAAAGCGUGGGGAGCGAACAGG